UACGAAGGGGGCUAGCGUUGUUCGGAAUUACUGGGCGUAAAGCGUACGUAGGCGGAUUGUUAAGUGAGGGGUGAAAUCCCGAGGCUCAACCUCGGAACUGCCUUUCAUACUGGCAAUCUUGAGUCCGGGAGAGGUGAGUGGAACUCCUAGUGUAGAGGUGAAAUUCGUAGAUAUUAGGAAGAACACCAGUGGCGAAGGCGGCUCACUGGCCCGGAACUGACGCUGAGGUGCGAAAGCGUGGGGAGCAAACAGG
rnacentral:rRNA from 1 species